GUAAUCAUCAAAUCUUUGAACGCAAAUUGCACUUUCCGGUAUUCCGGAAAGUAUGCCUGUUUGCGGGUCAGUUAAAUAAAAAUCGGUGUUGUUGCUGCUAUUAGUGGUGAUGCAUCGGAAUUGAGUUGUCUUUGCCCUUUGGUAUAAGUGACUUAAAAUUAUGUUCGAUUUUUGAACGUAUUUAAAUUAUUUACUUACGCUCAUGAUAUCACAUAUUAGGUGCGGUCAUCCACAUGAUUUCGCGCCUAUAAUUUUUCAUUAUUUGACCUCAAAUCAGGUAAGAAUACCCGCUGAACUUAAG
rnacentral:misc_RNA from 1 species